rnacentral:rRNA from 1 species
UGGGGAAUAUUGCACAAUGGGCGCAAGCCUGAUGCAGCCAUGCCGCGUGUAUGAAGAAGGCCUUCGGGUUGUAAAGUACUUUCAGCGGGGAGGAAGGGAGUAAAGUUAAUACCUUUGCUCAUUGACGUUACCCGCAGAAGAAGCACCGGCUAACUCCGUGCCAGCAGCCGCGGUAAUACGGAGGGUGCAAGCGUUAAUCGGAAUUACUGGGCGUAAAGCGCACGCAGGCGGUUUGUUAAGUCAGAUGUGAAAUCCCCGGGCUCAACCUGGGAACUGCAUCUGAUACUGGCAAGCUUGAGUCUCGUAGAGGGGGGUAGGAUUCCAGGUGUAGCGGUGAAAUGCGUAGAGAUCUGGAGGAAUACCGGUGGCGAAGGCGGCCCCCUGGACGAAGACUGACGCUCAGGUGCGAAAGCGUGGGGAGCAAACAGG